GGAGGGAAAACUCAGGGAACUGAAACAUCUAAGUACCUGAAGGAAAAGAAAGUAAGAACGAUUUUCUGAGUAGUGGCGAGCGAAAGGGAAGGAGCCCAAACCGACGAUAGUCGGGGUAAUAGGGCCGUCGAUAAAGCUGAAAAGGAAGGUAGUCAAAAUAACUGGGAAGUUAUGCCGGAGAGGGUGAAAGCCCCGUAGACGAAACCGGAUAAGGAAGCGAGACGGACCCUGAGUACGGCGGGACACGAGGAAUCCAGCCGGAAGGAUCGAGGACCAUCUCGAAAGGCUAAAUACUAGGAUGUGACCGAUAGCGAAAGAGUACCGAGAGGGAAAGGUGAAAAGAACCCCGGGAGGGGAGUGAAAGAGAACCUGAAACCAGAUGCUUACAAGAAGUCAGAGCCCGUUAAGGGGUGAUGGCGUGCCUUUUGUAGAAUGAACCGGCGAGUUAUGAAUGCUGGCGAGGUUAAGAUGAAGAGUCGGAGCCGAAGCGAAAGCGAGUCUGAAGAGGGCGGAGAAGUCAGUAUUGAUAGACCCGAAACCGGGUGAUCUAGGCGUGAACAGGUUGAAGUUGAGGUAAAACUUGAUGGAGGACCGAACCGACCCCCGUUGAAACGUUGGCGGAUGAUUUGCGUCUAGCGGUGAAAUUCCAAACGAACCCGGAGAUAGCUGGUUCUCCCCGAAAUUGCUUUAGGGCAAGCGUGUCGCGAGAGAGAAGGUACCAUGAAGGUAGAGCACUGAAUAUGUGAUGGCCUCAACUAGAGGUACUGAGCAUAAUCAAACUGCGAAUGACAUGGGAACAGGCGAUGCAGUGAGACAUAGGGUGAUAAGGUCCUGUGUCAAGAGGGAAAGAGCCCAGACCGACAGCUAAGGUCCCAAAAUGGAUGCUAAGUGGAAAAGGAUGUGGGAAUGUCCAGACAACUAGGAGGUUGGCUCAGAAGCAGCCACCCUUUAAAGAGUGCGUAACAGCUCACUAGUCGAAUGAACCUGCGCCGAAAAUAUACCGGGGCUAAGCAUCAUACCGAAGCUAAGGACAGAAGGAUCUGUGGUAGGGGAGCGUUGCAGUGGCGAAGAAGCAUGACCGGAAGGACAUGUGGAGCAGCUGGAAGAGAGAAUGCCGGUGUGAGUAGCGGAACGAUGGUGAGAAUCCAUCGCACCGAAAACCCAAGGAUUCCAGAGGAAGGUUCGUCCGCUCUGGGAAAGUCGGGAACUAAGGCGAGGCCGAAAGGCGUAGUCGAAGGAUAACAGGCGGAAAAUCCUGUACUCCUCAGAGGAGUGAAUGGAGUGACGGAGAAGGCUAACCGGACACGCGGAUGGAAGAGCGUGGGCAAGCGAGGUAGCAGGGAUGGAUUAAAAGGCCAUUCUAAUAAUGUGAAGGCGUGAAGCGGAUGGAACGCAGCGAUGCAAGUACAGAAGAAGGUGAAGCCAGCUUCCAGGAAAAGCUCCUGGCUGAGAGACUGAGGACCCGUACCGAAAAUGGACACACAUGGGUGAGGAGAGAAUCCUAAGGUGAGCGAGAGAACUAUAGCUAAGGAACUCUGCAAAAUGACUCCGUAACUUCGGGAGAAGGAGUGCUCAUGAGAAUGAGCCGCAGAAAAACGGCCCAAGCGACUGUUUACCAAAAACAUAGCUAUCUGCAAAGUCGGAAGACGAAGUAUAGGUGGUGACGCCUGCCCGGUGCUGGAAGGUUAAGAGGAGAUGUCAGUUGAAAGACGAAGCAUUGAAUUGAAGCCCCAGUAAACGGCGGCCGUAACUAUAACGGUCCUAAGGUAGCGAAAUUCCUUGUCAGGUAAGUUCUGACCCGCACGAAAGGCGUAACGAUUUGGGCGCUGUCUCAGCUGUAGACUCGGUGAAAUCUUAGUACCUGUGAAGAUGCAGGUUACCCGCGACUAGACGGAAAGACCCCAUGGAGCUUCACUGUAGCUUGAUAUUGGACUCUGAUGCAUGAUGUACAGAAUAGGUGGGAGGCGAAGAGACGUGAACGCCAGUUUACGGAGAGCCGAGCGUGGGAUACCACCCCUGAUGUAUUGGAGUUCUAACCGGACCGGAAGGCAGGACGGGACAGUGUCAGGUGGGCAGUUUGACUGGGGCGGUCGCCUCCCAAAGAGUAACGGAGGCGCCCAAAGAUACCCUCAGGCUGGAUGGAAACCAGUCGCAGAGUGCAAAGGCAAAAGGGUGUUUGACUGCGAGACGGACAGGUCGAGCAGGGACGAAAGUCGGGCUUAGUGAUCCGGCGGUGCUGAAUGGAAAGGCCGUCGCUCAACGGAUAAAAGCUACCCUGGGGAUAACAGGCUGAUCUCCCCCAAGAGUUCACAUCGACGGGGAGGUUUGGCACCUCGAUGUCGGCUCAUCGCAUCCUGGAGCUGAAGUCGGUUCCAAGGGUUGGGCUGUUCGCCCAUUAAAGCGGUACGCGAGCUGGGUUCAGAACGUCGUGAGACAGUUCGGUCCCUAUCUGUCGUGGGCGCAGGAAGUUUGAGAAGAGCUGUCCUUAGUACGAGAGGACCGGGAUGGACAUACCAAUGGUGCACCAGUUGUCACGCCAGUGGCACAGCUGGGUAGCUAAGUAUGGAAGGAAUAAACGCUGAAGGCAUCUAAGCGUGAAAUCCCCUUCAAGAUGAGACUUCCCAACGCAAGUUAUAAGACCCCUUGAAGACGACAAGGAGAUAGGUCAGGAGUGGAAGUGCAGCGAUGCAUGGAGCGGACUGAUACUAAAAGGUCGAAGACUUAACCAA
rnacentral:rRNA from 1 species